CGGAAAGUAGCUCAGUCGGUUAGAGCAUCUGCCUGAUACGCAGAAGGUCGUUGGUUCGAGUCCAGCCUUUCCGA
rnacentral:tRNA from 1 species